GGGCAACCCUGGCGGCGAGCGGCGAACGGGUGAGUAAUGCAUCGGAACGUGUCCCGUAGUGGGGGAUAACUCAGCGAAAGCUGGGCUAAUACCGCAUAUUCUCCACGGAGGAAAGGGGGGGACCCGCAAGGGCCUCCCGCUAUGGGAGCGGCCGAUGUCCGAUUAGCUAGUUGGUGGGGUAAAGGCCCACCAAGGCGACGAUCGGUAGCUGGUCUGAGAGGAUGAUCAGCCACACUGGGACUGAGACACGGCCCAGACUCCUACGGGAGGCAGCAGUGGGGAAUUUUGGACAAUGGGGGAAACCCUGAUCCAGCCAUGCCGCGUGCGGGAAGAAGGCCUUCGGGUUGUAAACCGCUUUUGUCCGGGAAGAAAAGGCAUCCCCCAACACGGGGUGCUCUUGACGGUACUGGAAGAAUAAGCACCGGCUAACUACGUGCCAGCAGCCGCGGUAAUACGUAGGGUGCGAGCGUUAAUCGGAAUUACUGGGCGUAAAGCGUGCGUAGGCGGUUCGCUAAGUCUGAUGUGAAAGCCCCGGGCUCAACCUGGGAACUGCAUUGGAAACUGACGAGCUCGAGUGUGGCAGAGGGGGGUGGAAUUCCACGUGUAGCAGUGAAAUGCGUAGAGAUGUGGAGGAACACCGAUGGCGAAGGCAGCCCCCUGGGCUAACACUGACGCUCAGGCACGAAAGCGUGGGGAGCAAACAGGAUUAGAUACCCU
rnacentral:rRNA from 1 species